rnacentral:rRNA from 1 species
UUCUAAUAGGUCUUUAUUAUUAGUACAACCUGCUCAAUGAAAUUUAAAUAGCCGCAGUCUAUACUGUGCUAAGGUAGCAUAAUCACUUGCCUUUUAAUUAAAGGCUAGAAUGAAUGGUUUUACAUGAGAGAUACUUUAUUAAAAAAGCCACUCUAAUUUUCUUUUCAAGUAAAAAAUCUUGAAUUCCUAAGAAGGACGACAAGACCCUGACGAGCUUUACUUCCGUUUCACUGGGGAGGUGAAAAAACCAUUUCUUUUUCUUAAAAUAACCUUUAAAAAAGAAAUUUAAACAAGCUACCGCAGGGAUAACAGCAUAAUUUUUCCUUAGAGACCUUAUUUUAGGAAAAGAUUGUGACCUCGAUGUUGAAUAAAUAAUCUUUCAAGAGCAAGAUCCUGAAAAGAAAGUCUGUUCGACUUUUAAUUAUUUACA